UAAAUGAAGCAUUGGAUCCUUAGCCAUCCUACCGUCUCAUCUAAAGCAACCAGAUCUCUUUAGUUCACGUGUCAUUAUGUAAUUUAAUGGUUACCUAGCAAUCUAUAUCCAGAAAACAUCCUUCUUCAGCUCCGUUUGGCAUUGCGGUGGAUUAUUAUAAUCCCGUUUUUUCCACCCGUUUUUCACUAUUUUCAUGUUCU
rnacentral:lncRNA from 1 species